AAACAUCAAACAAAAUUCGUUUUAACGCACGGGAUCUUGUCUAGUAUUAAAUGAUACUGUUUAAAAAGUAACAAAUUUUAAUAUUAUUGGUUUUAAUUAAUACUAUUUACAUUAUAAUAUAUUAUUUUGUUAAUAGAUGAUUAGGUAAAAUUAUAUGGAAUGUAGGAUAUUGUAGUGAAAUAAUUAUCGUAUCAUGAUCUCAUAGACAAAUUUCCUCCACCACGCGCAAUUAUAAUAGUUUUUUGUAAAAUAAUAGUUACUUUAAAAAACAUUAAUAUAUAGUUUAAUGAUCUUUUAUAAAAUUUUAAUGUUAUCAGAAUAAAAGUUAAAAGAAUGAUUUGCAAAGUAUUUUUCAAUAUAGUUUGAAAAUUUUAAAUUUAUUUUUUUUCUUAUUUUUUCUGUUUCAUUAUAAGUUUAAUUUAAUUUAUUAAUUAUUUUUAGUUAUAAUACAUAGGUGAUAAAUUAUGUUGGUAAUUACCUUAAUGAAUAGAGUAACACUUGACAAGCUAACAUUUUUAUAGCAAUUUUAGACAAAUAAGUUUAAUGAUUUGAAGAUUUGAUUAAUUAUUUUCAUAAAGUUUAAAAUUUAAUUAUCUAUGAAGAAAGUUUAAAUAUUGACAAAACAAUUAGUUCUAAAUUGAUGUAAAUAUUUUUAUUUUUAUAAUUAUGUUAUUUUUAAAACAAAUUACAAGUGAUAAUAGAUAUAAAUUAUUCUUAUGUUUUAUUUAUCUUACAAAAAAUUUGAACUUCAUAAAUGAAAAUUGACAUGUCAUAAGAAGUAUACUUUAACUAGUUGAUAAAAAAAGUAUACUUUAAAAGUCUUACGAAAAAUAUAAAUUUCAAAAAUGUAAAUUGACAUGUCAUAUUAAAAUGAAGUCAUAUCAUAUUUUAAACUAAACCAUGUCAUCAGUUUUCUAUCAAAAUCAAUAUGGUGAUGAUAGAUAAGCAAAAUUUUAAAAAUUACUUUGUAAGUAUUAUCUAGGAGAUUUUCGAUGGUACGAUUGUUAAGUUUUCUUUUUUAUCUUAUAAAAAAGGUUUCUUUCUUAGAAAUAAUAAAACCAUAUCCAUAAAUUUACAAUAUAAUAUAUAUGUAUAUAUACAUAUAGGAAAGAAAAUAUCAAUAAUUGAAUACAUAAUAUAAUGUGGCACCCAUAUGGGAACUUUGACUACGAGAUGAGACCAAAACCGUUUGACUACAUAUUUACAGUUAAUAAAAAUGUCUAAUAAAAAAUCAAUACUUACAUUUCAAAUCAUCUAUAAAUGUCCAAUUAAUUUUUUUCUUAUUUUCAAAGAUAUGUUACCCAAAUAUAUAUUUUUUAGCAAAUAUUAAAAUUUUGUUAUGGUAAGAAAAUUAAAUGAAAAGGCAGAAUAUACUGAGAUUAUAAGUGUUCAAUUUGAUGAUGACCAAUAGUCCUAUAAAUUGAUCUUAAACUUGCAAACCAAUUGUGUUUUCUUCAAGACGACAAAAUGAGUUUCACAAAGAUGUUUGUAACUUACUUUUUUGUGGUUGUAUUGGUUAUUUCUGUUUCCAUCCAACCCCAUAAGGCGUCCGAUAGCACAAAGAAAUAUGUUCCCGUUGGUGUUACAUGCUUAAGUAUUGUAUGUACGAGUACAUAUACAUCGAGAGAAUGUGAGGGUUAUUGCAUAUCAAAGGGGUACAAUAAUGGAGAAUGUCGUCCUUUGGAUCUUGUUAAACCAGUAGCACCUGAGCAUUGUUGUUGUUAUUAUGUAAAACGUUGAUCUGUUAAAUUUCUUAUUCUUACCUUUGCUAUGAGAAGUAUGUGAUUUUAGUAUAAUAAAAUCCCAUCAAAUAAAAAUUCCUUUAGUUAGGUAUGCU